UACGGGGGGGGCAAGCGUUGUUCGGAAUUACUGGGCGUAAAGGGCGCGUAGGCGGCCCGCUUAGUCGGACGUGAAAUCCCUCGGCUCAACCGAGGAACUGCGUCCGAUACUGGCGGGCUCGAAUCCGGGAGAGGGAUGUGGAAUUCCAGGUGUAGCGGUGAAAUGCGUAGAUAUCAAGAGGAACACCUGAGGUGAAGACGGGUUGCUGGGCUGACACUGACGCUGAGGCGCGAAAGCUAGGGUAGCAAACGGG
rnacentral:rRNA from 1 species